rnacentral:rRNA from 1 species
GACGAACGCUGGCGGCGUGCUUAACACACGCAAGUCGAACGGAAAGGCCCUGCUUUUGUGGGGUGCUCGAGUGGCGAACGGGUGAGUAACACGUGAGUAACCUGCCCUUGACUUUGGGAUAACUUCAGGAAACUGGGGCUAAUACCGGAUAGGAGCUCCUGCUGCAUGGUGGGGGUUGGAAAGUUUCGGCGGUUGGGGAUGGACUCGCGGCUUAUCAGCUUGUUGGUGGGGUAGUGGCUUACCAAGGCUUUGACGGGUAGCCGGCCUGAGAGGGUGACCGGCCACAUUGGGACUGAGAUACGGCCCAGACUCCUACGGGAGGCAGCAGUGGGGAAUAUUGCACAAUGGGCGGAAGCCUGAUGCAGCAACGCCGCGUGCGGGAUGACGGCCUUCGGGUUGUAAACCGCUUUCGCCUGUGACGAAGCGUGAGUGACGGUAAUGGGUAAAGAAGCACCGGCUAACUACGUGCCAGCAGCCGCGGUGAUACGUAGGGUGCGAGCGUUGUCCGGAUUUAUUGGGCGUAAAGGGCUCGUAGGUGGUUGAUCGCGUCGGAAGUGUAAUCUUGGGGCUUAACCCUGAGCGUGCUUUCGAUACGGGUUGACUUGAGGAAGGUAGGGGAGAAUGGAAUUCCUGGUGGAGCGGUGGAAUGCGCAGAUAUCAGGAGGAACACCAGUGGCGAAGGCGGUUCUCUGGGCCUUUCCUGACGUUGAGGAGCGAAAGCGUGGGGAGCGAACAGGCUUAGAUACCCUGGUAGUCCACGCUGUAAACGGUGGGUACUAGGUGUGGGGUCCAUUCCACGGGUUCCGUGCCGUAGCUAACGCUUUAAGUACCCCGCCUGGGGAGUACGGCCGCAAGGCUAAAACUCAAAGGAAUUGACGGGGCCCCGCACAAGCGGCGGAGCAUGCGGAUUAAUUCGAUGCAACGCGUAGAACCUUACCUGGGUUUGACAUGGAUCGGGAGUGCUCAGAGAUGGGUGUGCCUCUUUUGGGGUCGGUUCACAGGUGGUGCAUGGCUGUCGUCAGCUCGUGUCGUGAGAUGUUGGGUUAAGUCCCGCAACGAGCGCAACCCUUGUUCACUGUUGCCAGCACGUUAUGGUGGGGACUCAGUGGAGACCGCCGGGGUCAACUCGGAGGAAGGUGGGGAUGACGUCAAGUCAUCAUGCCCCUUAUGUCCAGGGCUUCACGCAUGCUACAAUGGCUGGUACAGAGAGUGGCGAGCCUGUGAGGGUGAGCGAAUCUCGGAAAGCCGGUCUCAGUUCGGAUUGGGGUCUGCAACUCGACCUCAUGAAGUCGGAGUCGCUAGUAAUCGCAGAUCAGCAACGCUGCGGUGAAUACGUUCCCGGG